AGCGAACGCUGGCGGCAGGCCUAACACAUGCAAGUCGAACGAACUCUUCGGAGUUAGUGGCGGACGGGUGAGAAACACGUGGGAACGUGCCUUUUGGUUCGGAAUAACUCAGGGAAACUUGUGCUAAUACCGAGUGUGCCCUUCGGGGGAAAGAUUUAUCGCCAUUAGAGCGGCCCGCGUCUGAUUAGCUAGUUGGUGAGGUAACGGCUCACCAAGGCGACGAUCAGUAGCUGGUCUGAGAGGAUGACCAGCCACACUGGGACUGAGACACGGCCCAGACUCCUACGGGAGGCAGCAGUGGGGAAUCUUGCGCAAUGGGCGAAAGCCUGACGCAGCCAUGCCGCGUGAAUGAUGAAGGUCUUAGGAUUGUAAAAUUCUUUCACCGGGGACGAUAAUGACGGUACCCGGAGAAGAAGCCCCGGCUAACUUCGUG
rnacentral:rRNA from 1 species